UACAAAGGGGGCUAGCGUUGUUCGGAUUUACUGGGCGUAAAGCGCACGUAGGCGGAUUGUUAAGUCGGGGGUGAAAUCCUGGAGCUCAACUCCAGAAUUGCCUUCGAUACUGGCUUUCUAGAGGCUGGAAGAGGUUAGUGGAAUUCCCAGUGUAGAGGUGAAAUUCGUAGAUAUUGGGAAGAACACCAGUGGCGAAGGCGGCUAACUGGUCCAGAUCUGACGCUGAGGUGCGAAAGCGUGGGGAGCAAACAGG
rnacentral:rRNA from 1 species